rnacentral:rRNA from 1 species
AGUCGAACGCUUCAGCAAUGAAGAGUGGCAGACGGGUGAGUAACGCGUGGGAACCUUCCCAGUGGUACGGAAUAGCCCAGGGAAACUUGGGGUAAUACCGUAUAAGCCCCUAGGGGGAAAGAUUUAUCGCCAUUGGAUGGGCCCGCGUCGGAUUAGCUUGUUGGUGAGGUAAAAGCCCACCAAGGCGACGAUCCGUAGCUGGUCUGAGAGGAUGAUCAGCCACACUGGGACUGAGACACGGCCCAGACUCCUACGGGAGGCAGCAGUGGGGAAUAUUGGACAAUGGGCGCAAGCCUGAUCCAGCCAUGCCGCGUGAGUGACGAAGGCCUUAGGGUUGUAAAACUCUUUUGGCGGGGACGAUAAUGACGGUACCCGCAGAAUAAGCUCCGGCUAACUUCGUGCCAGCAGCCGCGGUAAUACGAAGGGAGCUAGCGUUGUUCGGAAUUACUGGGCGUAAAGCGCACGUAGGCGGAUUUGUUAGUCAGGGGUGAAAUCCCGGGGCCCAACCUCGGAACUGCCUUUGAUACUGCAAGUCUGGAGUCCGGAAGAGGUGGGUGGAAUUCCUAGUGUAGAGGUGAAAUUCGUAGAUAUUAGGAAGAACACCGGUGGCGAAGG